UUGGAUAACCAGCCUCAGCAUUUUCCAGCUAGACUGAAGGCAUCUGUAUUGGGAUUGCUAACUUGUGCUGCGUUCAUCAAGAAAUGCACUGACUCGAAUAAUUAUUAAUACCUUAAGCAUAUCAGCUGCAAUCUACAUAUAAGAGAUGUUGAAACAGAAGGCAAGCCUUAUCUAACAUACCAAAUGAUACUUAACCCUGGCUCUGAAGACACAACUUCUCAUUGACUUAUAUGCUUUACUAUGAGACAGACGUAGACAGCUUUUGAAAGGGAAAAGGAAUGUUCAAUUCUCUGUAUCACAUAUGAAGCUGUUUGGACAGCAUGGCAUUGUAAUUGAUUACACCAAAAUGAUUGUUAAUACAUUGCAUGAAGAUCAAUUCUCAGAAUUCUCUUCUUUUGGAGCUUGACCAUAAAAAAAGGAGAAUAUUGACAGCUGAAGAUGUCACCGCAAGCAGAAAAUCCUAAGUCUACUUUCACUGUAAGGGAUAUAAUUUUUAGGAGACUGUUAAAAUUAUAUAUAUAUUUUUUUCUUUUUUUGUUCCCCCUUCAGGGUGAAAAUGAGAAUGAACUAUGAAAUAGUUAGUGUUCACAGAGUGUGAUGAUGUGGUCUACACUAUGCCACAAUAGAAGUAUUAAGGAUGUUUUCUCUCAUUAGUGCCUAACUUUCUCAAACUCGCUGGUUUACAUUUAAAAAUGAAAUGUCUCUUUUAAAAAUGCUGCUCUUAUAGCAAAGUAGAAAUCCUAUAUAUGCCAUAUAAAUCACAUUGGAAUGCCAGAUUAGAGCAAUCCUUAAAAUUGUCUAAAAAAGUCUGGCUGCUUAUUGAAACACUGAGCCACAGGAGGUAUGCUGUUAAUCCUGUCAUGAUCUCAAAUGCUGUGCAUUUGCAAAAGUGUAGUCCGAUCAUAGUGCCUCUGCUAGAGAGAUAUUAACAGUCCGUGCAAUUAUAAGUUGUUUAAUCCUUAUGAUGUCACUUACUUUAAUUCUUAUAAAAUGUCAUCAUAUUUGAGGAUUACAAUAGAGUUCUAAUAACAUCUAGAGCAUAAACUGAGCCUUGUAUUUAAUCAUAAAAUAUUGCUUGUAACUACUAUUAUAGUAUCUCGGUGCCAAAGUGGAAAACUUUGUCUGUAUUGCUUUGCUUGCUUACACACCUGCACAUAUUUGCAAAGUCACCUAUGUGACUGGAUGGCUCCACCUCUCCUAGACCCCAUUUAAGGCUACCAGUAGGGAAGGAUCUCUUUUUGGAGAUCUCCCCGUUGUGGAGUCUUUCAUUGUGAGCCUGAGUCUUUGAAUACAGAUGAGCAUUCUUUCUCUGUUUCUUUCCAUUUCUCCACAAUAUUACUUCCACCUGUAAUAACAGCAGUAUAAUGCAGAAUAACUUCAUCAGAUAAUUCUGAUCUACUGUUAAGACAUGAAAUCUAAUUUAAAAUUAAUGGACUGUUUAUUAGAGAUUCAUAUCUUUACAGUUUUCAAUAUUGAAAUAUUUGUGGUAAAAAAGAUAAAAAGUAAAUCAUACUGUUUCCAAAGAUUAUGGUUUUACAUGUUCUGGGAAUUAUAAGCAUUAUUUAUAGGACACAUUCCCAUUUAUUUAUUAAAUGAUUCUAGAAAUAAUAUUUUACAGAGCAACAGAAUCAUACAGUUUAGCACUAAGGUGACCUUCAUCUGAAAUGUACACAUAAAUAUCCUUGUUUGUUUAUAAGUAUAACCAUUAUUAUUUAGCUGCAUGAAAUAAUUAUUUUUAUUUACCCAAUAAAUAUUUCUGGUCCACUCAAAUAAUUCAUGCUGUAUUUCAUCCAGCAUUAAUUGACAGUGAUAAACCCCAUAGAAUCUAAGCCAUUCAGUAUAGUCACGUCUUUAAUGCUUUGAUGACAAAAUAUUGAAAUAGCAAAGAAAUAAAUUCUUCUAACUAA